UUGUCCAGUUUGGUGGCUGCGGUGAGAGUGUUGCCAAGUAAAGAUUUAGAGAUCCAGUCCUGACUCCUGUGUCUCCUUUCCAACUCGGGACACAACAGAGACAAAAUGGAGAUGGGUUACAUAUAUUUAAUAUAUGUGAGAGGAUGACUCCCAGUGAGAAUGGCUACUCAACCCAAUGAGACACAGCAAAGACUGUGGUUCACUAGAUUGGAAUUACUGUCCUAUUUCCAUGGAGAUGGUAAGGACAAAUAACAUUUUUCCAAUCUAUAAAACUAGAUUUGAGCUUGCAAUUAAAGCCUGUGCAGAUGGACAUACUUCCUACCUGUCUCAGCAGAGAUGCACUGGCUGUCAUUACCACCAGAGGAGCAGCAAGACUGUGGUGACUGUACAGAUAAAUGACAUUUUGGGAGUAAAGAAUUUUUGGUAUAUUAAUUUGUGAGCUUUUAUUAGCUUUGGACAGAGCAAGGCUGACUUUUUUUCUCCUGUUUCCCCAUAUGUGUGUGCGAGCUGCUUGUAUUGAUGUCAUGCCUGUAAAAAAGGAGACUUCGACUUGGAGAAGUUUGGAAGUAAAGUGGCAUAUUGUUGGCUUUGCUAGAAAUGCUCAGUGGCUUGUGGAUCACAAGGCAGACAUGUACUGCCGUAACUGUAUCAACCUGAACACUGAUGGUACCUGCCGUAGAAUGAUCUGGCCAAGAAAAAAGACACACCUCGAUGCUUCACCUUGCGCAGCCAAAAUGGACAAUCGGAGGUAUUUAAGGAGGCCCCAGCAGUCAAGCAAGUGAAGAGACAGUUUGAAAUGAUCUGACAACAGUUUCUCACGCACAGUAUGUACUGCCCAAAUUUAAUGUAUCCUAAAAUGAUUUUUACAUUUGUUUCAUUUGCAAGAAAUUGUUGCAAAGUUUAAUGGCUUUGACCUAAGUCCAAAUAUUGUUGAUCAUCUUCAUAAGCUGCUCCUGUGCUUCACAAUUGUGGAACAGAGUCCAGCUCCCAAUACACAUUCAUUGCAUUGAGAAAAAGGCCUCAGAAUUACUCUAAUUGCACAUAACAGGCAAUAAGUAGAUUCUGCUAGUAUAUGUUAGAAAAACCUAUGUAAUUAUGUCAAAUUUUAACCGCCGUCCCACGGGGAUAUGUUGCUUUUUCACUGCGGUGAAAAAGAAUCCAUACCAUACAUCCACAAUGUUGACUUGCCUUAUAACAAAUGUAGACAACCUCAUAUCAGAGUUGUAUUACCCCUGCACAUUUUGACGGCUUCUGGACGAAACCAGGUCCAUCUCUCUCCAAAAGUUGUGUAUAGCACCUUGUAUCUUGAGAAACUGCUUUGACACUUAGCUGCUAUGCUAACGGCUACUAUGAGAGCACAGUCAGACUGAAUAAUGCAGUGAAACGAAAUGGCAAUUCUGAGUAUCAGGCUAGCAAUGCAUUGAGUUAAGUAUGUGCAGUCAGCUCUCACUGCAUACUCAAAAAUUCUUGAUAAUUUAGUAUACAUGCGGGCGUUUCUUGCACACAUAAUCCACAUACUAUGCAGCUGAAACACUACAUACUCAAUCUGACAUACUUAGCAUGAAUAGUACAUUAGUAAUACAGUAUGAUGGACAGCAUGACAGCUCCUCAAGUAAAGCCAAAACAUCUCAAUUGCCCCCUGGCUGUAGUAUAGGACAUAAAGUCCACCCUCUCCAUAAUGACAAGUGGAACAUGGGCCAAACUCAAAAAAACUCCAAGUACACAUAAUUUAUUUAUUUUUUUGUAGAUAGGUAGUUCUUAUGCUGAUGUUACUUACAGAUGAAAGAUGUUUCUAUUUCCAGUUUUGCCUUGCAAUUAAUGCAUAUAGAGGUCUAGUCAAAGUAACUUACUUGUAGAGCACAGGAGCAGCUGCUGAAGAAGCUGCUCAAUAUUUUGGACUUGCAGUAUGGACAGUACAACACAAAAGUUAUGAAUAUCACUUUAAAGGAAAAAACUGGUGUGGUGUUUACUUGUUGUAAACAUGGCCUGUGAAAACAGCAAAAUCUGCAGUGCUUUUCUGUUAAUAACUAUGGUCCAUCUAUCCACUGCCAGAAAUAUAUAUUUCGUAUCAUGUAACUAUUUGAACUCCAUGGUAUUCAAAAAUAAAACAAGUCACAGAUUUGCAAUUUUUCUUUGGUCUGCACAGCUUUUUUUAAACAAUAUUUUUCAAGAUAACAUACUGAUGAUUACUGUAUGAUUAUACUACGAGUGUCAUGUUUUUGAAAAAGUUUAUCAUAGAUUGUUGCUCAUGCCCAUGCAGUAGAAUAGGAGGGGGCUUUCCAGUGUUACUGGAUGGGCGGGGCAGGGAGCUAUCCAGUUUCUGCUAUUAGGGAUUGUGACUGAAAACAUGUCAUUUGGGUCCAGGGUUUAAGAUAUUGAAAUAUUCCAACUUUUUCUUUUUUUUCAUAUAAAAACAAUAUUUUAGAAGUCAAACACUAUAUUGAACAAUUAUAUAAAGUAACUGUUGAAUACCUUACAUUUACAGAGAUUGCCUUAGCUGUUUGUGUAAUGACUUACUAUCCUUCUUUUUCUGUCAAAUGAAAGUUUUGAACAAUAUUUGUUCAGAUUACUAAAAUGAUUGUUUAAUACCCUAAAUUUACAGAUAUUAUCUUUAAAAAUACUUAACGUAUUUUGAUGUAUAGUGUUUAAUUUUCCAUUGUCCAAUUCUCUAAAAUAACUAAUACUGUAAAU